AACGAAAUGACGUCAUUAUACCAGCGGAGUUUCCAGUUAAAACUCUUUUACAAUGUUAAUAAACGGUGAAUUGAAGCAUACAGUAAAAAGAAAAUGUGUUGGAUUUGGUGAAAUCUGAGAGCACGAAGUCUUUUAGAACAAAUUUGAAGGGACCAUCGCAUAGUGUCGCUCAUUCCAUGCGUAAUCUACUUAAACAUCCCAGUAACGGCCACAUGUGCUGUAGUUCCAUUUUUUCGGGCGCUGGAAAUGCCAUCUUCGUAGACGCGUAGUAGUGCUUAUAGUGCGGGUGUUGUAUAACCUUUUGCACAUAACAGUUGUUGGCAUUUGUUAUGCACAUAGCAUACUAAAAAAGUACAAAUAAAUACCUUGAACAAGAUCAUCGGGAUUUCCUUCUUUAUCAACGCGUGUAUGAAGAUGUCAAGAUAUUUAUUCCGACCAAGAAA